CUUUACAGAUUUCAAAGGCUCGGCCUAAGACAGUUCUUGAUUUGCUUAUUCUGGUAUAACACCACCAACUGGAACUCCUGAACCAAACUCCUAGGCAUAUGUCCACAGCCAUGGGCCAUACAGAAAAACUUUGCUUGAAGAACGCCUAUGACCCACACCCUUAAAAAGAAUCAUCAGAAAGCUGCUAUGGCCAGACAACAGACCUUUCAAAUGAAAUAAAGGUUGUUUUUGUUUUUGUUUUUGUUUUUGUUUUAGAUAUGUCUACCACAUUAAGUUUCUAUAGAAGAUUGUAAACUCUGACUGGAGUUUUGGUGUAGAACUCUGCCUUGGAAUGAGUUUGAGUCUCUUUCAGGCUAGUUACAUCAUUUUAGCUUAAUGGUAAAUAUGGUUGGGCAAUUAUCUAUGAAGAAGUGAUGAACAGCAUAUGGCUUCAAUAUCCUAGGUUCUGAUUCUAUGCAUCUAGGAGCUUCUUAACUUAACAACUGGAUGAACAACACCAGGGAAGAGAUAGCAGAAAGCCCUAAGAGUCAGAAGU
ensembl:lncRNA